rnacentral:rRNA from 1 species
CGUAGGGGCAAGCGUUGUCCGGAAUUAUUGGGCGUAAAGCGCGCGCAGGCGGUCCUUUAAGUCUGAUGUGAAAAGCCCACGGCUUAACCGUGGAGUGUCAUUGGAAACUGGAGGACUUGAGCACAGAAGAGGAGAGUGGAAUUCCACGUGUAGCGGUGAAAUGCGUAGAGAUGUGGAGGAACACCAGUGGCGAAGGCGACUCUCUGGUCUGUUACUGACGCUGAGGUGCGAAAGCGUGGGAGCGAACAGGAUU